UAACGAAUAUUGGGCAAUGGGCGAAAGCCUGACCCAGCAAUGCCGCGUGAAGGACGAAGUCCUUCGGGAUGUAAACUGCUGUCAGGGGUCCGCAAGCGAAGGGGUCCAACAGGCCCUGGAGUUGAGCAGCCCCAGAGGAAGCCUCGACUAACUCUGUGCCAGCAGUCGCGGUAAGACAGAGGAGGCCAGCGUUGUUCGGAAUCACUGGGCUUAAAGCGCGUGUAGGCGGCUUAGAAAGUGUCGUGUGAAAUCCCGCGGCUCAACCGCGGAACUGCCCGGGAAACUACUGUGCUUGAGGUCGGGAGAGGUGCCUGGAACUCUAGGUGGAGCGGUGAAAUGCGUAGAUAUCUAGAGGAACGCCAGAAGCGAAAGCGGGGCACUGGGCCGAUUCUGACGCUGAGACGCGAAAGCGUGGGGAGCAAACA
rnacentral:rRNA from 1 species